rnacentral:rRNA from 1 species
GCAAUGCACGCAAGUGUGACGGGGCUACCCCGAGUGCCGUCCGCUGAGGAUGGCUUUUCCUUGGUGUAACUAGCCAGGGGAAUAAGGAGAGGGCAAGACUGGUGUCAGCCGCCGCGGUAAUACCAGCUCUCCGAGUGGUAGGGAUGAUUAUUGGGCUUAAAGCGUCCGUAGCCGGCUUAGCAAGUUUCCUGUUAAAUUCAGCGACCUAAUCGUUGAGCCGCGGGAAAUACUACUAGGCUAGGAGGCGGGAGAGGUCAACGGUACUUCCGGGGUAGGGGUGAAAUCCUAUAAUCCCGGGAGGACCACCAGUGGCGAAGGCUGUUGACUAGAACGCGCUCGACGGUGAGGGACGAAAGCUGGGGGAGCGAACCGGAUUAGAUACCCGGGUAGUCCCAGCUGUAAACGAUGCGAGCUAGGUGUUGGAAUGGCUACGUGCCAUUUCAGUGCCGCAGGGAAGCCAUUAAGCUCGCCGCCUGGGGAGUACGGCCGCAAGGCUGAAACUUAA